GGUUUUCUGGUGCUUAUCACAGGCUGUGUUCUUAAACUGACUGUUAUAGAAAGAGGAGGCAAAGUAAACCUAUCCCACAUACACCUCAGCCCAGGCCCUGUGCCUGGUCUGUAUUGUGAAAGGAAAAAAUAA
rnacentral:snoRNA from 1 species